rnacentral:rRNA from 1 species
CCUACGGGCGGCAGCAGUGGGGAAUAUUGCACAAUGGGGGGAACCCUGAUGCAGCGACGCCGCGUGAGUGAAGAAGUAUUUCGGUAUGUAAAGCUCUAUCAGCAGGGAAGAAAAUGACGGUACCUGACUAAGAAGCCCCGGCUAACUACGUGCCAGCAGCCGCGGUAAUACGUAGGGGGCAAGCGUUAUCCGGAUUUACUGGGUGUAAAGGGAGCGUAGACGGCAGAGCAAGUCUGGAGUGACAGCCCGGGGCGCAACUGCCGGACUGCUUUGGAAACUGGCCGGCUAGAGUGCAGGAGAGGUAAGUGGAAUUCCUAGUGGAGCGGGGGAAUGCGUAGAUAUUAGGAGGAACACCAGUGGCGAAGGCGGCUUACUGGAAUGUAACUGACGUUGAGGCUCGAAAGCGUGGGGAGCAAACAGGAUUAGAUACCCCGGUAGUC